AGCACUUCCGCCGCUGAUGGACCA
rnacentral:siRNA from 1 species